CAUGACAUCAUUGGGACGACAGUCCUGACGAUCAAAGCGGGGUCGCAAGAUCUCGCGCUACCGGAUGGGCCCGCGCCCGAUUAGCUAGUUGGUGAGGUAACGGCUCNCCAAGGCUUCGAUCGGUAACCGGCCUGAGAGGGCGAUCGGUCACACCGGAACUGAGACACGGUCCGGACUCCUACGGGAGGCAGCAGUGGGGAAUCUUGCGCAAUGGGCGAAAGCCUGACGCAGCAACGCCGCGUGGAGGAUGAAGGCCCUUGGGUUGUAAACUCCUGUCGGCUGGGAAGAAAUCGUUCGGGGUUAAUACCCCCGGACGUUGACUGUACCAGCAAAGGAAGCCCCGGCUAACUCUGUGCCAGCAGCCGCGGUAAUACAGAGGGGGCUAGCGUUAUUCGGAAUUAUUGGGCGUAAAGGGCGCGUAGGCGGCCAUGCGUGUCUUCCGUGAAAUCCCUCGGCUUAACUGAGGACGUGCGGAAGAAACUGCAAGGCUCGAGUCCGGGAGAGGGGGGUGGAAUUCCCAGUGUAGCGGUGAAAUGCGUAGAUAUUGGGAGGAACACCGGUGGCGAAGGCGGCCCCCUGGACCGGUACUGACGCUGAGGCGCGAAAGCGUGGGUAGCAAACGGGAUUAGAUACCC
rnacentral:rRNA from 1 species